GACGAACCGUGCGAACGUUAUUCGGAAUCACUGGGCUUAAAGCGCGUGUAGGCGGAUGGGCGCGUCGGAACCUGAAAGCCCCCGGCUCAACCGGGGAAGCGGGGCCGAAACGACCCGUCUGGAGGGACGUAGGGGGAUCUGGAACUUCCGGUGGAGCGGUGAAAUGCGUUGAGAUCGGAAGGAACGCCCGUGGCGAAAGCGAGAUCCUGGACGUUUUCUGACGCUGAGACGCGAAAGCUAGGGGAGCAAACGGG
rnacentral:rRNA from 1 species